UCAAUUGUUCUUGGGUCCGGAAGCUAUUAGAUUCUUUAUGAAUUUCUUGUGGUUUUCUAACUAGGGAUUGGGUGCAGGACUGGCUAUUGGCUUGUAUUCCGACAUCACAUAUGGCCUACAAGAAGCUUGGGGAGCUCAUGAUUGGAAAAACAGUGUGGUGGCAGGGGCAUUGACAAGAGCGGCAUUGGUGCUCACUUGCGAGGACACCUCUCAUGAGCAGGUUAUUCAUUGCGCCAUCACUGGAGCAGCGCUCUCAACAGCUGUGAAUCUUCUCGCCGGGGCUCAACAAUUGGGUUUGGUUUUCGCAAUAAACAUGGUAAACUAUCUUAACCUCAGAAUCUCUCUAGACUGAGCUGAUUACGUUUCCCUUACCAUUCGUAGCCCCACUUGGUCUAGAACGAGCUCCCCUUGGGUCAGGAGUGUAUCAAGCAUAUCAAAAAACCAGGUAUAUCAAAGGCCAUCGCAUUGUGGAGCUCUUCAUCUGCUUGAUGGACUUUCAUUGAAUUGUCUUUUUAUUUUGAAGUUUUCCAUUGUAGAUUUAAUUUUUUACUGUCAGCUUUGUAAGUCAGAUAAAUAAUGUUUCAAAUUACAUUAUGGUUGUUUUUACUAUCUUUUGAUUCUUAAAUGAAUAUGGCUUAAAUA